CGCGCGCCGUACCCCCCUCCCUCUCCAUCCCCAAAAUUAAGCCACAUCAAAAUCAAAAAACAAUACUCCCAAACACCAUCAACCACCACAAACACCACCACCAUUAUCACCACCACCAUUAUCACCACCACCAUUAUUCUCAAGCUAUAACUAUUAUUAUUCUAAAAUCUCAUUUUAAAUUAAUGAAAAUAAGAAAAAUUACUAACCUAGGUUUUGUUGAAGGUUGUAGAUCGGAUGCCGGUGAGAGAUGGAGCCGCCGCCGACGAGGGUUGAUGUCGCCGCCGAUGAUGGGAGUUGGAUCGGUUUGGGAGAGAUGAGAAAAAGGGAGUGUUGGGGGAGAGAUGAGGGAGGGGUGUUUUGGUCUCAAAAGUUGUUUAAUGGCUAAUGUUGAUAGAAAUAUUUUUGGGGGGUUAAGAUGAAAAAAAUGAAAAUUUUAAUGGUUAUUAUUGAAAAUUUCCCAAAAAAAAUCACAAACGAGUGGUUAUUAAAUGCACACGUCAAUUUCUUCGCGUGCAUAAUAUGUAACCUAUGCAAGAGAGAACUUUUUUUUUUUUUGGACUGGUUGAACGUACGAAUUUAUUUUCUACUGAUUCUUUUUAAUUAAA
rnacentral:lncRNA from 1 species